rnacentral:rRNA from 1 species
UACGUAGGGCGCAAGCGUUAUCCGGAAUUAUUGGGCGUAAAGAGCUCGUAGGCGGUUUGUCGCGUCUGCCGUGAAAGUCCGGGGCUCAACUCCGGAUCUGCGGUGGGUACGGGCAGACUAGAGUGAUGUAGGGGAGACUGGAAUUCCUGGUGUAGCGGUGAAAUGCGCAGAUAUCAGGAGGAACACCGAUGGUGAAGGCAGCACUCUGGGACGGUACUGACGCUGAGACGCGAAAGCGUGGGGAGCGAACAGGG